CAUAGCUACCGUGGGAACCGGACGGCUGCGAUUGUAAGUUGUUGUCGCGCCUUGCUGGCCUGGAAACCACACAAGAGGUCCUAGAUGGCAGGGAGCUCGGUCCCAGUGAUGUACUGGUUUGUCCACACAACCCUCUUUAGCGCCAAGUGAUCAAGGGCGGUGCUGGUGUCAUACCAAGCAGUGAAGCAGCCAGUCAACAUGCUCUCAAUGGUACAGCUGUAGAACCUUUUCAGGAUUUUAGGUCCCAUGCCAAACUUUUUCAACCUCCUGAAGGGGAAGAGCCACUGUGAAGCCUUCUUCACGACUGUUUGUUUGUAUUUGGACCAUUUUAAGUCUUUAGUGAUUUGGACACCGAGGAACUUGAAACUGUCUACCUGCUCCACUGCCGUCCCAUCGAUGUGGAUAGGGGUGUGUUCGCCCCCCUGUUUCCUGUAGUCCACGAUCUGCUACUUGGUCUUGCUGACGUUGAGGGAGAGGUUGUUGCUGCAGCACCACACUGCCAGGUCACUGACCUCCUCCCUGUAGGCUGACUCAUCGUCGCCGGCUAUCAGGCCUACCACCGUUGUGUUGUCAGAGAACUUGAUGAUGGUGUUGGAGUCAUACGUGGCCACGCAGUCGUGGGUAAACAGGGAGAACAGGAGGGGACUAAGCACACACCCCUGUGGGGCCCCUGUGUUAAGGGUCAGCGUGGCAGAUGUGAUGUUGCCCACCCUCACCACCUGGGGUGGCCCAUCUGGAAGUCCAGGAUCCAGUUGCAGAGGGAGGUGUUCAGACCCCUUGACUUUUUCCACAUUUUGUUAAGUUACAGCCUUAUUCUAAAAUGUAUUAAAUAAUUGUUUUCCCUCAUCAAUCUACACACAAUACCCCAUAAUGACAAAGCGAAAACAGGUUUUUAGAAUUUUUUGCACAUUUUUAAGAAAUAAAAAAACAGAAAUACCUUACAUAAGUAUUCAGACCCUUUGCUAUGAGACUCAACAUUGAGCUCAGGUGCAUCCUGUUUUCAUUGAUCAUCCUUGAGAUGUUUCUACAACUUGGAGUCCACCUGUGGUAAAUUCAAUUGAUUAGACAUGAUUUGGAAAGGCACACACCUGUCUAUAUAAGGUCCCACAGUUGACAGUGCAUGUCAGAGCAAAAACCAAGCCAUGAUGUCAAAGGAAUUGUCCGUAGAGCUCUGAGACAGGAUUGUGUCGAGGCCAAGAUCUGGGGAAGGGUACCAAAACAUUUCUGCAGCAUU
rnacentral:lncRNA from 1 species